rnacentral:rRNA from 1 species
UCGAACGGCAGCACGGGGGCAACCCUGGUGGCGAGUGGCGAACGGGUGAGUAAUACAUCGGAACGUGUCCUGUAGUGGGGGAUAGCCCGGCGAAAGCCGGAUUAAUACCGCAUACGCUCUACGGAGGAAAGGGGGGGAUCUUAGGACCUCCCGCUACAGGGGCGGCCGAUGGCAGAUUAGCUAGUUGGUGGGGUAAAGGCCUACCAAGGCGACGAUCUGUAGCUGGUCUGAGAGGACGACCAGCCACACUGGGACUGAGACACGGCCCAGACUCCUACGGGAGGCAGCAGUGGGGAAUUUUGGACAAUGGGGGCAACCCUGAUCCAGCAAUGCCGCGUGUGUGAAGAAGGCCUUCGGGUUGUAAAGCACUUUUGUCCGGAAAGAAAACGCCGUGGUUAAUACCCGUGGCGGAUGACGGUACCGGAAGAAUAAGCACCGGCUAACUACGUGCCAGCAGCCGCGGUAAUACGUAGGGUGCAAGCGUUAAUCGGAAUUACUGGGCGUAAAGCGUGCGCAGGCGGUCCGCUAAGACAGAUGUGAAAUCCCCGGGCUUAACCUGGGAACUGCAUUUGUGACUGGCGGGCUAGAGUAUGGCAGAGGGGGGUAGAAUU